AUUUGUGGGCUGCACAACAAUAUGGUGGGGUGAAAGCCAGGUUAUGGCUAGACGGGAUCCAGCUUUUGUCAAAUUAACAUCAUAUUUGACUUUUCGCAGCAAGUUAUGAUAAUUUACGAAGCAGCUGGAUACCUUCUAGUCUUGACCGGGUAACCACGGCAGAAAAAGAGCGGAGUGACUCGAUGUUGUUUUAGGAUAAGACGAUAACAUGGAGUCCAUUGAUUUGGAGAGGGGGGGCCCUUCUUGCUCUCUAUCUGGAUAUGCCAAUGGAGAGAUAAUGACCCUGGAGAUCUCAGAUGUCUCUCCAGACUUGCUUGUUCUCGAGGUAAAAGACAACAACCUACCUGAAAGUAACCAUGGCAGCCUAGACACGGAGAUGGAUGCUGACUUUUAUAAUGAUGAUGGGCAUGGUUUUGCGAAUGUGGAACUCCAGUUCUUUCCAUGUGAUGCCUGCGAAGCCUCCUUCACUAGCGAACCAGAGCUGGAGCAGCACUUCAUAAGCUCUCAUUCAAUAUGUGAUAUAGCAAGUGAGAGAGCAAGACCGAAAGCCAAGUCAAUGGAAAAAGAAGGUGUCUCACCCCUGCACACCUGCAUGACUUGUGGGAAGGUGUUCAAAUACCUAACUUCAUUUCGAAAACAUGAGGAAACUCAUAUCAAAGCCCUGUACACCUGCAAGACUUGUGGGAAGGAGUUUAAAUACCUAACUUCAUUCACAAAGCACCAGGCCACUCACAUUGUACCAAGACUGAGAGGAAAUCGAAAGUCAAUCAUAACAGUAGGCUUAAAUGUCAAUCAGAAAGUGAAAGGCCUUCACACCUGCAGGCACUGUGGUAAGGGGUUCAAAUACCUAACUUCUUUCAUAAAGCAUGAGAAGACUCACAGGAUAACCAAAAAAAGCAGAAAAAAACAGAGGAACCCUUCAAGUUCUGAGAUUAUUGUACGUCUUGAAGGCAAUAGGAAAGAUGCCACAGAAACUUGUGUAAGGGCCAUCAAGAAAAACAGGAAGAACAGCGACGAUACUGAGGAUCAGGAUGCAUGUAUUCUAAUAUCUUCUGAUGAUGAACUACCCAACACUGCAGAGCAGCAAAUGCCUGACUCUAAAUGUUCUCCUCCUUUCCCUUCUAACUCUAACCGUUCUCCUCCUUUUCCUUCUGACUCUAACCGUUCUCCUCCUUUUCCUUCUGACUCUAACCGUUCUCCUCCUUUUCCUUCUGACUCUAACCGUUCUCCUCCUUUUCCUUCUGACUCUAACCGUUCUCCUCCUUUUCUUUCUGACUCUAACC
rnacentral:lncRNA from 1 species